GAUGUUGCCUGAAAAGUUUUGCAUGGAAUAAUGGAAUAGGACUUCGGUUCUAUUUCGUUGGUUUUCGGAUCCGAAGUAAUGAUCAAAAGAGACAGGCGGGGACGUUUGUAUGGCUGCGCUAGAGGUGAAAUUCAUGGACCGUAGCCAGACAAACUAAAGCGAAAGCAUUCGUCAAGCAUGUUUUCAUUGGCCAUGAGCGAAAGUCAGAGGCUCGAAGACGAUCAGAUACCGUCCUAGUUCUGACCAUAAACGAUGCCAACUGACGAUCCGUGGUGGUAGUUCAUCAACCUUCCCCACGGGCAGUCCCCGGGAAACCUUUAAGUCUUUGGGUUCCGGGGGAAGUAUGGUUGCAAAGCUGAAACUUAAAGGAAUUGACGGAAGGGCACCACCAGGAGUGGAGCCUNNGGCUUAAUUUGACUCAACACGGGAAAACUCACCCGGCCCGGACACUAUGAGGAUUGACAGAUUGAAAGC
rnacentral:rRNA from 1 species